UAUUAGUAAAGGAUGCAGUAUUAAUAGUAGCAGUAUUAGUAAAAGAUGCAGUAUAAGUAGCAAUAGUAGUAGCAGGUUCUGCCAAAAAAUAGACUUAAAACUAAAAAUAUUAUUUGAUAGGAGAAUUAUAAAACAGACUUAAAACCAAAGGAAAACAAAAAACCCGAAACCCUGGGGGAAAACAAAGAACCCGAAAACAGGUGGAAAACAAAAAACCCGAAACCCUGGGGGAAAACAAAGAACCCGAAAACAGGUGGAAAACAAAAAACCCAAAAACGUAUGGAAACAAAAAACACGAAAACCUGGGGGGAAACAAAAAACCCGAA